rnacentral:rRNA from 1 species
GAUGAACGCUGGCGGCGUGCCUAAUACAUGCAAGUCGAGCGAACAGGCGAGGAGCUUGCUCCUUUGACGUUAGCGGCGGACGGGUGAGUAACACGUAGGUAACCUACCUAUAAGACUGGGAUAACUUCGGGAAACCGGAGCUAAUACCGUAUAAUAUUUCGAACCGCAUGGUUCGAUAGUGAAAGAUGGCUUUGCUAUCACUUAUAGAUGGACCUGCGCCGUAUUAGCUAGUUGGUAAGGUAACGGCUUACCAAGGCAACGAUACGUAGCCGACCUGAGAGGGUGAUAGGCCACACGGGAACGGAGACACGGUCCAGACUCCUAAGGGAGGCAGCAGUAGGGAAUCGGCGGCAAUGGGCGAAAGCCUGACGGAGCAACGCCGCGUGAGUGAUGAAGGUCUUCGGAUCGUAAAACUCGGUUAUGAGGGAAGAACAAACGUGGAAGUAACUGUGCACGUCUUGACGGUACCUAAUCAGAAAGCAACGGCUAACUACGUG